rnacentral:ncRNA from 1 species
GAGCAACUUAGGAUUUUAGGCUCCGUCCCGGCUUCGGCCGGGGCGCAAACCGGGACAAGGCUGGCGGUCUUGUCUGCGGUCAAAAUCUAUCCGCCGGAG